UACGUAGGGUCCGAGCGUUGUCCGGAAUUAUUGGGCGUAAAGAGCUCGUAGGCGGUAUGUCGCGUCUGCUGUGAAAGACCGGGGCUUAACUUCGGUUUUGCAGUGGAUACGGGCAUGCUUGAGGUAGGUAGGGGAGACUGGAAUUCCUGGUGUAGCGGUGAAAUGCGCAGAUAUCAGGAGGAACACCGGUGGCGAAGGCGGGUCUCUGGGCAGUAACUGACGCUGAGGAGCGAAAGCAUGGGUAGCGAACAGGAUUAGAUACCCGCGUAGU
rnacentral:rRNA from 1 species